rnacentral:rRNA from 1 species
GGAUGAACGCUGGCGGCGUGCCUAAUACAUGCAAGUCGAGCGAACAGAUAAGGAGCUUGCUCCUUUGACGUUAGCGGCGGACGGGUGAGUAACACGUGGGUAACCUACCUAUAAGACUGGGAUAACUUCGGGAAACCGGAGCUAAUACCGGAUAACAUUUGGAACCGCAUGGUUCUAAAGUGAAAGAUGGUUUUGCUAUCACUUAUAGAUGGACCCGCGCCGUAUUAGCUAGUUGGUAAGGUAACGGCUUACCAAGGCGACGAUACGUAGCCGACCUGAGAGGGUGAUCGGCCACACUGGAACUGAGACACGGUCCAGACUCCUACGGGAGGCAGCAGUAGGGAAUCUUCCGCAAUGGGCGAAAGCCUGACGGAGCAACGCCGCGUGAGUGAUGAAGGGUUUCGGCUCGUAAAACUCUGUUAUUAGGGAAGAACAAACGUGUAAGUAACUGUGCACGUCUUGACGGUGCCUAAUCAGAAAGCCACGGCUAACUACGUG